CGGCCGAAUCAGCGCCGGCGUGGUCUGGUGGCCGAAUCGUCGAAAAUGGCGGCGUGAUCUGCUUCUCUUGUAUCAUGCCGCGCACGGCAACUGGUGACUUCGGCGACCUCAGCCCAUCCCCUUGCUAGAGUCAAGACUGAACAAAAUGGUGCAUAGAGGUGGUUCUGGUCGGCGUGGUAUAAGAUUACAUCUCAGGGACAAAUCAAAAGGAGCUAUCUCCAGAUCAGACCUACGGCUGCCUCCUGCUACCAUUUUUCCCGGCCUUCCCAUAAACAGAGCUAAUAGAGCUGAGGAUUGUGGCCAGCAGCGAGCUGCUGCAGCUAGAGAACGACAGGUGGUAUCAGACUAUAGUAGCAC